UAGAGAGCUGUGAAGAGCUGAGAGUCUGGCUCAGUGUUCCCUAUUGCAGGAGGAAACCUGUAUUUAAAUCCAUGUAUGACAUGGAAGAUAUUUAUUUUAAAUUUCUGAAAAGGUUUUAAAAUUUACAUCUAAAUGGUGUAUUUCUGUCUCAGCUGAUGGUGCUUCGUAGGAAGAUUCUGAAGAAGACAUAGAAGUCCUUUGAUGAUUGUCUUCUUCAGUGAGAAUCUACACACUGUUCAUUGCAAUAUGGAAGCCUAAACUAUUUCCCACUUCCUGAAUAAAUAUUCUGAAGAGCAAUAUUGAAGGAUGCUUCUGUUAUUCUUACAAGGAAGUAGCAGACAAAACUGCAUUUUUUGAAGAAAAGGAACUACUCAUCACAUUAGGCAUGUUCUAAUUUUGCUAUUUGGGCUGAACUUUUAGAAUUACUUUUUCUCUUGUUUCUCUACCAAAACCUGACGAGAUCUCGAAUAUUCAAGUACAGAGCCUAAGUAUUCAACAUAUUUGCAGGUACAAUCCUAUAUGCUGGGUGAGCUGCAAAGUUUAGGCAAACAUCACAUCUUUUAGUGGCAAAGAGGGAUUUUGGUUUGCACAUGGGCAUCUAAGUUAACUUUAAUCACUGCUGAUCAAAUUCUUGACAUCUUACUUUUCCUAUGCGCAGGUGAGAAGGAGCCUGGAGAGAAGACAAUGUAAUGAGACCAUGAUAAGCAUUCUGUAGGACAAUACAAAGAGUGAUUACUUUUCCUCUGACCCUCUACAAAACCACUGCACAAGAAAACAAGUAAUAAAAAUUGAAUUUUGUCAAGAAUUACUUAUAUUAUUCAAAUGGAUCAUAAUGUUUAAUUUGGCAAUCUUUUAAGUUUGGCUGAUUCCGCUCUUUGCUUAGGAAAACAAGCUCUGAGAGGUAUCAGCUUUAAGUUAUUUACAUCCUACUUAGCUAGGAUAUAUAUCAUAGCUCAGUUUAUGUAUCAUUCCUUGACUGUAUGAAAUGAAUACCUGACAGUUAUCAUAGAAGUUGUUAAGUGAUCAUAGAUAAAGAAAAGUUUUCAGUGUAAUUAUUGAAUAAUGUGUAUAAGUGAAAUUUCUUUUAAUUGUGAAUUUCAUAAUCUACUUCAAUUCUAUAUUUUAAAUUCAAAUUUUGUGAGCUAAAGACUAAGUUUUUCCCUUCCUUAUGUUUUCAAGAACAUUAAAAUCCAGAUCUUUCAUAUCUGUUCCUAUUUAUGUCACUAGAAAAAGCUCCUUGCUGCGUUUACUUCAUCACAGAUGUGCGUUGUAUGAAUUUGAAGACAUCUUCAAAUACCUCUUGGUCUAUUUCUCCUUCCAACAGACAAUCCCUUUAAGUCUUCUGAAUUUAAUUUUAAUUAUAUGCUUCAGUUGCUGCCAUAAAACAAGUUAGUCUUGGCCCUGAUGUUAUAGGUUGUCAGGAAAUAUUUUAUAUGGAGAAACAAUGAACAAUGAGUAUAUGAUAUAACUUGUGGAAAAGUUGUGCUCCUGCAGUUUUCACUCAGACAUUAUUUCCACUUAUUAUGGUCUUUGCUGCCAGUGUUUUCCAAAAUAAUAAAAUCAGGACUCAAGAAGAAAAUAUGAGUGAGGAUCAAUAUGUACUCAUAGCAGACUGAGAGUUUAUGUUUGGCUGUAAAAUAGGGAGACUUUGGCAAAAUUUCAGUACAUAAUAUUAUGUGACAAAUCUCAAAUCAGGACAGGGAGUAUGCCAUAAUUUUUCUUUAGUACCAAUGAAAUGUAAUUUAAAGGGAAUGUAGGAAGACAAAGAUUGUCCAGAAAGGAUUGCUGGGAUAUGAGAUGUCCAGUGUUUUCCCUUUACAGCCAUCAAAUAGUAAGUAAUUGUGAUUUGGUUUAGGUAACCAUAGGUAAAUCCCAUACUCCAAAUCAAGUGUUACAUUUGACUAUUUUGAUAAUUUUGACUAAGGUAACUUACAUCAGUCAUUUCACCUGGGUGCCUGACUAACUUCUGUCAAAGCCACUCGGGUACCAUGGUUUUUCCUGCUGACUAGCUACUGCCUGGGGAUAGCAGUGAUUCUCUGCAGUCAUCAUCUGCCUUUCAAUCUUUUAUACAUAUUUAUAUUUUUUUGAGGCAUCUGGAAAUUUUUUUUUCUCAAGGUCAACUCAAUGUAAAAAAAUUAGAGCACAGAGCAGUAACUGUGUCUUUAUGUCCCAUGCAGAAAAAUCUACAUCUUUACCAUACAGGGGUAGGUUUUGUUUUUACCUAGAUAGAACUUUUUCUCAAAAGAAGUGCUCUUGAAAUCCUUUUUUAUCUGCAUUUAAAAAAACAAAACCAAACCCAAACCAAACCAAACCCCAACAAAUACCCAGACAAAAGACAAACAUAUUCUAUGGAAGAAACAGUGCAAUAUGACUGUGAUAUAGUUUUGUACAAGUAUGUUGGACUGAAUUGAAGGAAAGGGAAAUGAAGCACAAUAGCAUUUUAUUUUUUAAAUAGAGCUACAUUACCAUGAGAAAACUAGUUAAUAGGAAGCUAAAAAGGAGCAGCUAGAAGGAUAAAUUUUUUAUAGCUCGCGUGGAGAAUGUUUAAAACCACCACAUCAGAGGAUUGCAGUUAAUGAAUAGUGCUAAUUAAACAGAACCAUUCAAUGAAAACAGAACCAUUCAAUGAAAAACCAACCACAAAAAGAAAAGGAUUCAGCUCCAUGAAACAGCCAAAUUAAAGAGGAAAGUAGCUCUUAAAAAUACAUCCACCCAAAUAGAUGGAAGUCAUAUAUAAUUGGGGGAAAUAGAAAAGGGCAUAAACUCUACCAUAGAAAGAGCAAAGAACACUAGAAGCGGUAAAAAAAGAAUAGUAAUUUUAGAAUUUUGGGAGGUUGUGAAGAGGGAAUCUGCCAGAGCAUUUGUCUUGUUUAUGAAUGAUCAAGAUGCCACAGGAACUCUUAAGCAGGAUGAAAGCAUAGGAGAAAAGUAAUCUGAAAUCUUGGCAUUGGCUUCCAUGAUAGAGGAACUGGUUUGUGGAACUGCUGAGAGCAGAGAAGAUACCAAUAUGCUGCUUUGAAUGCUGCAUAUUUUGAAUACAGUGUGUGGAUCUGGUCAUUCCAUACAGAAGAACUAGAACUAAGAUAGAUAAAGUAUACCUAGGAAAGAUAUAGAGAAGAACAAGAAUAACCUAAAGUUUGGAACAACUUUCACAUAAAGAAAUGACAAAGGAAGGACUUGUCCACUUGGAAAGAAGAACUCUAUAAGAACAUGAACAGUGAAGUAAUAAAAUAAGAAAACUGUUGAGCUUUUCCCUCUAUAUAAUAGCGGAGACAUGGAAGUUUCAAAGCAAUGAAAAUAAAUAGUUUUUAAAAUAUCUUUCACAUAAUUUAAAUAUUUAAAUUUGACAACUCAUUGGUAGAAAAUGUUGUAGAGGCAACAAUGCCAUGUGAGUUCAAAAACAAACAAACAAAUUUAACAAAGAAAUAAACAGACUCACAGGGCAUACACUAAUUAAACAUGUCAAUCUGGGUCAAAACAUCAUUUCAGGAGGUCCAUGAACUUAAAGAAGUAGGAUAAGUAUAACAGGGGAAAUACAAUAACUGUUCACAGAAUGUUAAUAACUGAAAGAGUCUAUAAAAAGACUUUUAAUGUUCCUUUAUCAAAUUGUCCUGUUCUUUAUCAUUAACAGCAGAAGUCUCAGUGAUCAACACUACUGUUCUCCUGUACACUGGUUGUUCAAAACACACACCAGUAAGAACUUGGUGGCUAUACAGAAUUUUUUUAGAUGUUGCCAAGCUUGGAGUGUUUGCUAGUGGGUUGGAUAUUGAUGGCUUUCCUGCACUUCAAACCCUCCUCCUUGUCCAUGUUUUGCAAAAAGACAGAGUUUGCAUUUAUUAAAUGCUAAUGAUGAUUCGUUUAACUCCCAGAUUUUUUGUUCUUUCCUUUCUUCUGUUCUUUUUGAUUUAAAUGUGUGUUUUACCUUAAAUUUUGUUUUCUGCCUCAGUCAAUUUGUUUCCUUGUAUAGAAAGCUUGCUCUGGAAUAUAGUUGAGGUAGCUUGUAAAAGUGACUUCCAGUGGGAACAUAAAGCCAUCCCCUAUAUAUUAUGGUCAAUACUCCUAUAUUUACUACUGCCUCAGCUCAGACCUUGCACAGUGACCUGUUUUCCACUGUUAAUCUAGGAGUAGUUGGACCAAUUCUACAUCUGAAGAAACAUGCCCUUGUGCUCAUAAAAUAAGAGCGAUUAUCUUUUACCUCUUUGAAGUACUCACUGCAUAACAAACUUUGCCUUGGACUUCAGAAGAACAAAACUUAAGUAUUCCAGGGAAAAGCAGAGAGCCAUCCACCCAUCCAUAGGUCGUAGAUAUGAACUCAUUGCUGCAGUUGACAUCUCUAGACCUACUUUAAAGAGUUCCCACUCUUGUGUGGCACAGUGUCUGAACAUGGCUUUUAUAUUUUCAUGUGUUAGAAUGUGUACCUUCCCCCCAGAACUAAACCUUUUUCUCCUCCUCCACUUGCUUCCUUAUCCUCUGCUUUGGCAGGGCUUGUACCCUGAGUUUGAUACGCUGCUCGGCAGUCACCAUUACGUUUCCUGGCCUAGCCUUGUGUCUUCAGGCACUUAUGACAUUGGGCCAUUUUAUGCUGACAACCUGAUGUAAAAUGAGCUCCUUCACAUGGAAACAACCCUCGGGAGAGCAAGUUCCUUCCAACUGGCUUCAUAUUUUGUUUACUGAAGCAGUUUGAUUGUCUCUGUGUUAUACUCACAUAUCUUGUAAUUUUUCAGUACUGCUUCUAUUACUUUUGGUAAUUUCAAAGUUUUGGGCCAGGUUAAGUUCUCCAACUUAUUCUGCCAACAAUCAUCCUUUGAAUUCUCUCCUUAUUAAUGCCAUAAACCAAUUUAUAUUAUAACAUUCCCUCUAGGACUUUUCCAAAUGAACAACAUUCAGUGAGCUUUUAUUCUACCACACAGAGUUGCAGUUUCUUCUUGUGUCUCAAAUUAUUAUGAAAUUUAACACAUUCUACAGAAACUCUUAACUUUCCUGAGUGAGCUUUUAAGAUCUUUCGUAACUCCUCUAAAUUAUUACCACAGAAAACAGGACUGGAAUAAAUCUUGUCCUGGAGCAUCCUUCUGCCCCAAGACAAGAGGAGUUCUACCUGAAUGAGCUGUUGUUUUUCCGAGACUGUAACAGAGUAGGAGGAAGAUUUAUACAGCCAUUGAUUAAAAGCUUUUCUUUAUCUGCAGAUCUUGUCUGCAAGAAUAGGGAGAUCACAGCUUUCAUAAAUUGCUGCCAGCCCUUAUUUACUUUAUUGCCUGUGUUCAGUCUUCCUAAAAAAAUAUUGCUGUUAUGAUUAUUACUUCCUCCACCUAGACUGGUUUUGAAAUGGGAUCAAUCAGCUACAGUCCACAACCCAGUUCCUCCUGCAACUGAGCUGGUGUGCAACAGCUGGGUGCCCCUUUCACUUACCUGUAGAAACAAAUUUGCUGCUCUGAAUCCUGACUGAUUAAUGCCGUUUAUUGCAGAAUCCCAACUCUGGUCCCUUUCAGACACAACUCUGAACUCUGAACUCUCUCAGCAACUCCUCUCUCUUGUUUCAGGAAGGUAAAGUUCAGUUUAGUCAUAAAGCAGACGGACAGAGCUGGGAUGGAAGCUCUGGAGCCCGAAUGGGUCAAGCACCUAACUUUUUAAAGUCAUUGCCCAAGCCGGGUGCCUAAAACAGUUGCAAAAAACAGUCGCAAAAAACAGUCUUAAGGCUUUUAGUACUUCUAGUCUCUGUGCUAUUGCAAACAGACUGUGUAUUUGGCUGGAUAAUUUUUGUAUCUUCUUUGGCCUUGGCUUUUUCAGCUUGCCUCUUAGUUACUCGGAGAGGUUUUACCAAGGGUUUUGUAUCUGGUAUCACAGAUGUAACACAGAGCUCAAGGGAGAUGACAUAUUUUGGAUCCGGUUUAGACUUGGCUUCUCAGGGAAAUGUUUGCUCUUAUGAUUUUACUUUGUAACUUAAUACCAUUUUUAUAUUCAGCUCUGAACUCUGCAAAUGUUAAGGAGCAAAGCUCUCUGACUUCCCCGAGAGGUUCAGCAUUAGAAUAAUUUUAUGAACACUGGAGCUAAAGAGUAAAGUAGUGAAAAGGUUCUAGUGACAAAGUCCAUCCUAGGUUCUCUGCUGAUUUAAUCACUAGAAAAAAACACAUCUUUUUUGCUCUGUUAGUACCUUCCAGUCAUCUGAAAAAAACUUCUAACGUGUUAUUCAGACUGCAGAAGGAAGGAAGGCAGAUGUACUGCAAAGUCUCUGUGGUCUGAAUUGAUAAGCCUCUGUCUUCUUAACAGUGUUCACAAAGAUUUUUUUUUCUGUAUUGUACUACUUCUCAUUGCUGCAUGUGGAGUG